rnacentral:rRNA from 1 species
GUCUGUGGUCAUAUUACCCUGAACUUGCCUGUCUUGAAAACCAAGCAGGGUCAGGCCUGGUUAGUACCUGGAUGAGGGACUACCUGGGAAUAUUGGGUGCUAUAGACU